rnacentral:rRNA from 1 species
GNNGNUCNGCUCAGUACACGUGGACACCUACCCUCCGGACGGGUAUAAACCCGGGAAACUGGGUAUAAUUCCCGAUAGAUCUCGGUCGCUGGAAUGCCCCGAGAUCGAAAGCUCCGGCGCCAGAGGAUGGGUCUGCGGCCUAUCAGGUAGUAGUGGGUGUAGCGUACCUACUAGCCUACGACGGGUACGGGUUGUGAGAGCAAGAGCCCGGAGAUGGAUUCUGAGACACGAAUCCAGGCCCUACGGGGUGCAGCAGGCGCGAAAACUUUACAAUGCCGGCAACGGCGAUAAGGGGACCUCGAGUGCCAGGUUACAAAUCUGGCUGUCGUGAUGCCUAAAAAGCAUUGCAUAGCAAGGGCCGGGCAAGACCGGUGCCAGCCGCCGCGGUAACACCGGCGGCUCGAGUGGUAACCGUUAUUAUUGGGUCUAAAGGGUCUGUAGCCGGCCGGAUAAGUCUCUUGAGAAAUCCAGCAGCUCAACUGUUGGGCUUUCAGGAGAUACUGUUCGGCUCGAGGCCGGGAGAGGUGAGAGGUACUUCAGGGGUAGGGGUGAAAUCUUGUAAUCCUUGAAGGACCACCAGUGGCGAAGGCGUCUCACCAGAACGGACCUGACGGCAAGGGACGAAAGCUAGGGGCACGAACCGGAUUAGAUACCCGGGUAGUCCUAGCCGUAAACGAUACUCGCUAGGUGUCGGCCACGGUGCGACCGUUGUCGGUGCCGUAGGGAAGCCGUGAAGCGAGCCACCUGGGAAGUACGGCCGCAAGGCUGAAACUUAAAGGAAUUGGCGGGGGAGCACCACAACGGGUGGGGCUUGCGGUUUAAUUGGAUUCAACGCCGGAAAUCUUGCCGGGACCGACAGCAAUAUGAAGGCCAGGCUGAACACUUUGCCGGAUCANNUGAAAAGUGGUGCA